UAUCAACAUAAUAUUUUGACAAAUCAGAAGGCAUUCUCGAGCCCUAUAUAAAGGAACGAACCCCUCUCCUAUUUCCACUCCAUCUGCCUCUCUUCUUUCGUUCCAUCAGCUUCUCCGUUUUUCACUCUAUCAGCUUCUCUCUGAACUAGUAAUGGGCAUGUUCUUGUGUUUUCAUUUUCCAAUCCGGGAGAAAAAUAAGAAAUUUUUUUAUUUCUCUUUUUCUCUCUCUUACUUUAUCUCUAUUGUUUUGACAUACUUUUAUUUAUUUAAUUUAUUAUUAUUUUGUACAGAAAAAAAAAGGUACAAAGAGCCAAAGAGAAGAAACAAAGAGAUAAAAUAACCGUGUAGCUUCGUGCAGAAAAAAUCAAGUUUGAGAUUCUACAAAAGUCUGAGAAUAUUUACAUGAUGGAAAAUGUAAGGAGGCGUCGGGAGCGGAGAGUAGACUUCUCUAUUGCUGUGGAAAAAAUUUAUGCUAUAAUUGCAGUUUAGAAAGACAUUUAAAAUAAUAUUUAGUUUAUAUUUGAACGGGUCUCUUUCUGCGGUCAUCGUUGCCAUAAUCUAUAUAAUCUAUCUAUACUCAUAUAUAUACUUACUCAAUAUUAAAUGACACUUCCAUCACAUCAUAAAUAGGGCCGAGUUAUUAUUCCUAGCGGAUGUUAAUAUAUAAUACAUGUUAGUACUAUAAUACUAUAACACAUAAUUAAUAUGUUAAUACAUAUUAAUUUUAAUUUUAAUUUUACAUGUUAAUUAAUUUUACAAGCCCCCAAUAUAAUACAUAUUAAUUUUAAUUUUAAUUUUACAUGUUAAUUAAUUUUACAAGCCCCCAAUAUAAUACAUAUUAAUUUUAAUUUUACAAUACAUAUUAAUUUUAUAAUGCAUCUCCAACUAAUACAUGUUAAUUUUAAUUUUAUUUUAAAUUUUUUAUUUUACACGUUAAAUUUGAAAUAAUUAAAAUUUAAAUAGAAAAUUUUUAAUAUCAAAUUUAAAUUUUAAAUGUUAAAUUUAAAUUUUAAAAUUAAAAUUAAAAUUAUUAAAAAACACCAAAAUACACCAUAAACAUCUCAGUCCUCACAACAAUAAAUUUUAGUACUAUUUUACUAUAAUUUAAUUAUGUUACAUUUUCAUGGUUAUCCAAACAUGACUUUUCUUCUUUUUUUUUUUCUUUUUUUUUUCUUUUUUUUUUUGAGAGAUAGGUAGCACGCUACCCGCUUCGUUUAUUUAUUUAGAAAUAAACUUAGCUGGAAAUGUGAAUCAACUAGGAUUCGAACUUGGGUCUCGGGUACCAACCACCAAGCCCUUUGCCACUUGCUCUAGGAACGGUCGGUGACUUUUUUUGAAUGUUGGAUUGGGAACCGCGAGCUUUCUAAGAGUUUGACCUCCGUCGGCAAAGUUGACCAUUAUAUCGACAUAACAUUUUGACAAAUCCGAAGGCAUUCUCGAGCCCUAUAUAAAGGGACGAACCCCACCCCUCUCAUCUUUCCACUCCAUCAGCUUCUCCUUUUUCGCUCCAUCAGCUUUUUCUCUUUCCCCUCCAUCAACUUCUCUCCGAACUAGUAAUGUACUUGUUCUCGUGUUUUCAUCUUCCAAUCCUGGAGAAGAAUAAGAUUUUUUUUUUAUUUCUCUUUUUCUCUCUCUUACUUAUCUUUUUUGUUUUCACGUAUUUUUAUUUAUUUAAUUUAUUAUUGUUUUGUAAAGAAAAAAAAUAAGGAACAAAGAGCCAAAGAGAAGAAACAAAGAGAUAAAAUGACCGCGCAGCGCAGCUUCAUACAAAAAAAAUCAAGUCUGAAAUUCUACAAAAGUCUGAGGAUAUUUAUAUGAUGGAAAAUGUAAAGAGGCGUAGGGAGCAGAGAGUAGACUUCUCUAUCGCUGUGGAAAAAAUUUAUGCUAUAAUUGCAGUUUAGAAAGGCAUUUAAAAUAAAUUAUAUUUAGUUUAUAUUUGAACGGAUCUCUUUCUGCGAUCAUCGUUGCCAUAAUCUAUAUAAUCUAUAUAUACUCAUAUAUAUAUAUAUAUACUUACUUUAUAUUACAUGACACUUCCAUCAUAUCAUAGAUAAGGCCGAGUUAUUAUUUUUAGCGGGUGUUAAUACAUAAUAAUGUUAAUUUUAAAUAAUAAUGUUAAUACUAUAAUACUAUAACACAUAAUUAUUAACAUGUUAAUACAUGUUAAUUUUAAUUUUAAUUUUAUAAUUUAAUUAAGUUUACAAGCUCCAAAAUAAUACAUAUUAAUUUUAAUUUUAUAAUACAUGUUAAUUAUAUAAUGCACCUCCAACUAUUACAUGUUAAUUUUACUUUUAUUUUUUAUUUUUUAUUUUACACGUUAAAUUUUAAAUAUUAAAAUUUAAAUAGAAAAUUUUCAAUAUCAAAUUCGAAAUUUAAAAUUAAAAUUAAAAUUACUAAAAAGCACCAAAAUACACCAUAAAAUCUCUUUCCUCACAACAAUAAAUUUUAAUACCAUUUUAUUAUAGUUUAAUUAUGUUACAUUUUCAGGGUUAUCCAAAUAGGACUUAUUGUUGAACGUUGGAUCGGAAACCGCAAGUCUUCUAAGAGCUUGACCUUUGUACGGCCAAGCUAAUCAUUAUAUCGGCAUAACAUUUUGAGAAAUGAGAAGGCAUUCUCGAGCCCUAUAUAAAGGACGAACCCCACUCAUCUAUCCACUCCAUCAGCUUCUCCUCUUUCACUUCAUCAGCUUCUCCUCUUUCCACUCCAUCAGUGUCUCUCCGAACUAGUAAUGAACUUAUUAUCGUGUUUUUAUCUUCCAAUUCUGGAGAAGAAUAAGAAAUUUUUUUUUAUUUCUCUUUUUCUCUCUCUUACUUUUCUGGUUUGUUUUCACAUAUUUUUAUUUAUUUAAUUUAUUAUUAUUUUGUAUAAAAAAAAAGGAACAAAGAGCCAAAGAGAAGAAACAAAGAGAUAAAAUGACCGCGCAGCGCAGCUUCAUGCAGAAAAAAUCAAGUCUGAGAUUUUGCAAAAGUCUAAGGAUAUUUACAUAAUGGAAAAUGCAAGGAGGCGUAGGGAGUGAAGAAUAGACUUCUCUUUCACGGUAGAAAAAAUGUAUGCUAUAAUUGCAGUUAUAGAAAGACAUUUAAAAUAAAUUAUAUAAAUAUUAUGUUUAGAUGCAUAAAACUAUUUGGAUUAAUCCAAAUCCGACCCAAUUAAUUAACUCAAACGUAAUUGAACCCAACGUAAUGAAAGUUGACAUAUAAGUACAAUUACAAUUGAACGGUCCGUUUGGAUGGAAAGAAUAGGAGUGGAGAGCAAAAAGUCAAAUUUUUAUCUUUUGGAUAGAAAAAAAUAAACCGAAAUGUGCUAAAAAAUUCUAAUUCUUCUAGUUAUUGCCUUGGAUUGGUUUGGCAAAUUAAUUUUUAGUACGAAUUUGUAAUGUAGGGAAUAAUCCUAAGUUGGAAAAAAUAGUCUCUCAGAUUGAAAAGCUGUGGCUUGAUAUAUGAUGAAAUAUUAAAAAGUCUAUUGAAGACUCUAUAUGGCAAUUGUUUGAAAGGCUAGGGCUGCUAUACUCUUAUGAGUAUAACCUUUUUUGUACUCAUAAGUUUCCGAUCAUUAGAUGAAGAGAUAUACGGUUAGAAUGAUAGUUGUCUCCGACUAAAUUAAUAGUGGUCCUCUAAGGUUGAGUGUGUGGUUGGUUGAACAAUAUGAUAUAAUAAAUAGAAAUAAUCAAAGGAGUAGAUCUAACAGUCAAAAACUUAUGAAUACAAAGAAGACUAUAUUCAUAAGAGUAUAGUAGCUGAACUCCUGUUUGAAGUUUAAUCUGAUAGUGUUAUUUUUCAAUAUCUUAUCUUUCUAUGUGCAGCUAAAUUAAUUUCUUAAUUCUUCACAAGUUCAUACUUUCUGUUUAUUUUGGCAAGGACAGAACAAACACUUUUAGAGGAGGUAUAGUUUGCAAAUAUAUUUUCCAAAUGUACCUACUUUCCUGGUUUAUAGUGAAAAAAAAGUAAAAAGUAUGAUAAUUAAAGUGUGGCUUCCAUAGUGCGACAAAUGAUGGUGAAAAUUUCCAUCAAAAAAGCAUUCGUGUGGAUAUUUUCAUCAUAAUUUUGUAGAAUGGGACUGACCAAAUUAAAACACAAUUACAAACUAAGCCUACAGAUAAAGGGAGAUGCUCUAUAAAACACAAUUACAAACUAAGACUAGGGAUGCCAACAUGUCGGAUUUGAAGUGGGUUUUUAAAAAUCUAAACAUGAACUCGACAUCCUAAUUCGUCAUCUAAACCGGAAUUCAACCUCAACGGAUUUUGAAAAUUCAUAUUCAAUAUUGAACUCGACCAAAAACCCGAAACCAAAACUCGAACCUGAAAAUUGAAACCGAAAAAAAUUAUGUCUUUUUAUCAUAUUUCAAAGCAUAUUAUAUUAAAAUCUAAAAUUUUAAAAUAUAAAUUUAAAUAUAACAAAUAUUUAUAUAUAUAUUAUGUAAUGUAAAAUUUAUUUAGGUUCGGAUUGGGUUCGGGUUCAGAACGGGUAUAAACAAAAUUCAUACCUGAAUCCAAAUUCAUCGAAUUUUUAUUUUUUAUACCUAUAUCUAUGAAACUAUAUCCAGUUAAUAUUGAAUAAACCUGCCUCAUUCGGAUUCAGAUUCGAGUUAAAUUUCAGGCAUCCGUACGUACCCAUUGACAUCCCUUGUUCAGCUAGAGCUCUUCAAACAAGCACUACUAACUAUUUUAAAAUUGCACCAAUAACAUUCAACUUGUAUAAAAAUACAGUAUUCCAAUGUACUUGGAUUGUUUAUUCAAACUUACAAGCUCAUUUUAACUUUCUAGUACUAGAAAACUCUAUAAUUUUAUUAGCCGAAAGUUUUACCGUUUCUUUUCCAUGCAGAGAAAAUAAACAUAUAUUAAAGGGACAAUAUCAAAUAUACCCCGCAAAAUUAUAGAAAUAUCACAAAUACUCCUUAAAAAUUCUCAAUAUCAAUAUUACCCCUAUAAUUCUAUAUGUUAUAUCAUAAAUGCCCUUU
rnacentral:lncRNA from 1 species